AAACCCAAUCUGAAGACAAGUAAACGAUGAGAGCCAACGCAAAGUGCCAAAAGACUUCCCUCAUCUUCUUUCCCUUCGGCUCCGCAACAGACGCGAAAAAGAGAACGAAUACGAUAAACGAUACCCGAGCAAGAAACCCUAACCCUACUUUCCCCCACCCGUCCCCGAUUCCCGGCGACUGGGCCUCUCCCUUUCCGAUUUAGGGUUCCCUCGAUGUCCAGCUGCCGUCGCUUCGUCGGCCCCCGGCCUUGAGCGCCGCGCGGUGGCCCGGGCUUACGAUGAUGGGUAGAGGCUCCGUUGAUGUUCCUGCGGAGGCGGCGGUGCCCGGCGUGAAUCUCUUCGCGCAGGCCCGGAAGGCGCUCUCGGUCUCCUCCCCCUUCGACCCCGAGGAGUCCGCUCCCCGGGUCCCGACGCUCCCCUCGGGCUUGGCGUCCUUCCUCCUGCGGGGUCCGGACAGCCACAGGAAGCACAAGAAGUCCCACGGAGAGGCCGCCGAGAAGCCCUCGGUGCACGGGACGCCUCCGACUGUGUGGGAUGUGACUGAGGAGUUCUUCCGACCGGUUACUCUGUCUGAUAUCGAUUUGUUGGCGCCGAAACUCCCAUUGUGUCCCGGCUUGCUGGAUUCGUGCUUCACCAUGCCGGUGUUUGAUAAUGGGGUGGAGGAUGACAAGAAAGAUAGUAAGGCGGAUACUUGUGCAGCUGAAUUGAGUUCCAUUACAUUGUCCAAGAAGGAGGAGGUGAUUUUGGAGCAGCAAAUCGAGGAGGUGGAGAGGGUUCAGGCAACUGAGGAACUUCCUCCCAUGGAAAUAGAUGAGAUUGUGACUUCUGUUGGUGAUGCAAUGCCGAUGCAAACAGUAGGAGAUGAUGAUAAUCUGUCUUUGCAUUGGCUUUUGGGGUCGAAGAAACGAUUGGUUCUCUUGGCUGAGCGCGCCGAUAAGAAACGGAAGCUCUUGGAUGGAGAUGCUGGCUUGGAUAGGCUGUUACUGCUUCCUCAUUCACACACAGGAGUUAAUCUCUGUGAUUUCUGUUGCUCCAUAGAGAAUGGAGUGAAGAAAAAUAAGUUUCUUCGUUGCCAUUCUUGCAAAGUUGUGGUGCACCAGAGAUGUUAUGGAGUGCAUGAGGUUCCAGAGGGGGUUUGGCUGUGUGCUUGGUGUAAGCAUUUGGAGACAGCUGGAAUAGUUUCAAAGAGAGACGGUGAUGACCUCAGUUCAAGGCCAUGCUUGCUUUGUCCUAAAGAUGGUGGAGCACUGAAAACAGUGACAAUGGAUCCUUCCCUUAGCCCGAGUGAUGGUGCUGCGAAGUUUGUGCACUUGUUUUGCAGCCUAUGGACACCAGACGUAUAUGUGAAAGACACUUGGGCAAUGGAACUGGUUAUGAACAUGGGAGGGAUACAAGACAAACGCAGGAAGUUAGUAUGUAAUGUGUGUAAGGUGAAGCAUGGUCUAUGCAUAAGAUGCAGCCAUGUUCUACAGUUUUCCAGUUAUGAUAUCUGGUCCAGUUGGGAUGUUUCAGGGACAUGCAGAACAUCUUUUCAUCCUUUGUGUGCAAGGGAGUCAAAUCAUCAGAUGGAGAUAUGGGGAAAGUUCGGAUGCACUAAUGUUGAGUUGCGAGCUUUUUGUUCAAAGCAUUCGACUUUUCAAGAUAUGGGUGGUGUUAAGGACACAAACAAUCUUCUAUUGGCUAUUGAUGAUAAGAAAUUGGUACCAAAGCUUUCAUCUGCUGUUCUACCUACUAAAAAGUUACCAACGUUACAGCUUACUCCCAAUAAAAGAGAUCAAAUCAUGAUGCAAAAUGAAAUUGCAAAUUUGAACUCAGAAAAGAUACUCCAAAUGAAGCCUGAUGAGCAGGAUGCCUUAGUUGAUAGGCUUGAUUCCAACAGUGGUCAAGCAGGUACAAUUGCGGAGAUGGAUACUGAUGGAGCUGUUGAUAGCAAAAAUAUUAAAAGAAGUACCUAUGAUGUCUCUGCAAUUCUGAGAAAGCUAAUUGAUCAAGGUAAAAUUAAUGCCGAUGAUGUUGCAUCAGAGAUGGGCAUCUCAUUGGACUCCUUACAAGCGGCUCUUAUCGGAGAAACAACCUCCUUUUCACCUGGGUUAAGGUUGAAAAUCAUCAAGUGGCUUCAGAGUUCUGUACUUACACCAACUUUGCAACCAUCAAAAGUUAGGAAUGGUCCUGUGAUAUCAUCAGAUUAUAGAGUCACAAAGUAUGAUGGACUAAAUGAUGCUAAAAUAGAAGAUCCAGGAAAUAAUCCAGGUGGUGAUGUCACAGGUGUUGAAGUAUCGGAUGCUGUUCUUGUUAAGUUGUUGCCACCACGGAGAAGAACAAAAAGCAACAUCAUGAUAUUGAAAAAUAACAAAGCAUUACGUUCAUCUGGACUGGCUUCUGUUUUGGAAAAUGGUAAUGGGAAAAUAGUUGAUGAGAUUGACGACAUUCAAGUUGUCAUAAGCGAAGAUAUGAAAGGAAAUAUUAAUGAGAGGAUAUGUUCUAGUCUCCUUUUUGGAUUGUCAAAUGACCAAAAGCCUGUGGUGAUGACUCUGGAAGACACAUCUAAAGCUGAAGAUUCUGUCCCUUCAGAUCCAAAUCAAGGGCAGAAAAAUGACAUGGCAAAUGAUAUUGAGGAGAAAGUGUCUUUUUUGCAUUAUGAGGGAAACCAAGCUGUUGAUACUAAUACCACGACUCAAAAUACCAUGCAGAGUGGUUAUUCUAAUUACUAUGAUGGUGAAGUUGAUGUGGUGCUUUGUACUAAAUCUUAUCUUGAAAAUGGUGGAUCUGGUUCUGUUUUUGUUGUUCAUCCAUUGAUCAAGAAAAAGUUGUUGCACAUGCAGAAUUCUGAACUCUUAAAGAACAAGCCUACAGAUCCAUUCUCUAAUGCCAAGUCUUUGUGUUCUUCCUGUGUCCAACAAGGAUUGCUUUGUGCUGCAAGCUAUACAUCGGAUGGUGCAAAAGAGCUUGAUCAGCUUUCUAAAGCUAAAAGCGUCGGUGUCUUGGACCUUUCCCCUGAAGAUGAAGUGGAGGGAGAAAUAAUUUACUUACAAGCUAGGCUACUUGAUAAUGCUGUUUUGAUCAAGCAUAAUUGUGAAGAUUUGUUGUUGAAGAUUGUUGAGAAUCUUGCUCAUGAGCUAAAUGCAUUAAAUAAACGCAAAUGGGACCUAAUCCUUGUCAAUCAAUUUCUUCGUGAAAUUAGAGAAGCAAAGAAGCGAGGAAGGAAAGAGAGAAAGCAUAAAGAAGCUCAGGCUGUACUUGCUGCGGUUACUGCUGCAGCUGCAGUUUCAUCAAGAAACUCUUCAUUAAGGAAAGAUUCAAAUGAUGAGACUGUCUUGGGUACCCAGGAGACUCCCAUAAAAAUAAAUGCUGCGACUGGUAUAGCUGGGUUACACCCCCCAUUGGUUCCUCAAACAACUGAGGCUUUUAGGUCAACCUUUGGUAAAUUAUCAUCAGCCAAGCAUUCCAUGGCUUUCCAGAUGCCAGAGUUUUUAAAAGACAAUGCCCUGUCCUGUGAGAUUUGCAUGCGAACUGAGACAAUAUUGAACCGGGUCUUUGUCUGUUCGAGGUGCAAGGUUGCAGUUCACUUAGACUGUUACCGUAGGCUUAAAAGUCCAAUUGGAUCAUGGAAAUGUGAGCUAUGCGAGGACAUGUCACUGCCAUCUACUAGCCCUAAAAGUCAAAUAGACGGCAAGGGCACAUCUGCUGUUGUAGCUCAGUGUGGCUUAUGUGGUGGUGUAACUGGUGCUUUGAGAAAGUCAGCAGAUGGACAGUGGGUUCAUGCCCUCUGUGCAGAGUGGUUGUUGGAGUCAAGUUUCAGAAGAGGGCAAGAGAAUCUGGUAGAAGGAAUGGAUACCAUUUCCAAGGAAAAGAACACUUGUUGUAUCUGCUAUCACAAUGUUGGUGCAUGCCUGAAGUGCAGCCAUGGACACUGUAAAGUUACUUUCCAUCCUUCUUGUGCUACUAGUGCUGGAUUUUACAUGAAUGCCAAGGUCACUGAUGACAACAUACAACAUAAGGCUUAUUGUGGCAAGCAUAGCAUAGGGCAGAGGGAGGCUGACAACCAGCAAUGUGGUUCUGAAGACAUUAAUAGCUUAAAACAAAUACGGGUUGAAUUGGAAAAAUUACGUCUUCUUUGUGAACGAAGUAUCAAAAGAGAAAAGUUAAAGAAAGACUUGGUUCGUUGUUCACAUGACAUACUUGCUUCAAGGAGGGAUUGUGCUGCGUACUCAGUGCUUGUAAGGAGUUCCUUCCAAUCUGGGGCCAGUUCGGAAUCUGCUACAACUUCUAUAAAUAAUAGGUCCUACAGUGGAACAAUCCAGAGAUCAGAUGAGAUCACUGUAGACAGUACUGUUUCCAGGGAACACACAAUUAGGUGUUCCUUGCAUAAUAAGAACUUUGAUAGAAACACUGAUUACAGCUCCUCAUCACAACUAUCAUUCAAACGAAAAUUAGCCGAUAGGGCAUCUUUUGCUGGUAAGCAACUUCCACAAAAAUCAGCAUCUAAUGCUUUUUGGAAAUCAGCAGAUGGAGAAAAUAGACCUAAGGCAAAAAAGACAGAGACUUUCCAGAAGGAACUCGUCAUGACUUCAGACCAAGCAUCUAUGCAGAAUCAGCGUCUUCCUAAAGGAUAUUUUUAUGUUCCAGUUGGAUCUCUUUCCAAAGAACUGCCACUUGAACAGGAUUUGGAGUCUCAUGAGCUACAAGAGCCUGGUGGAUAGGUGCAAAGAGGAGUGAGUUGGUUCUUUCUUUUUCACUCGUGGGGGCCAGAGUGGUCCAGUGUACAAUUUUAAAGGAGGAUGCAGCUCGGUUGAUGUGCUGAUGUUGCAAAACAGCAAGGCUGGUGCUGAUGUUGCAAAAAUAGGGAGGGAUUGCCGAUGUAUUUGUACACGGAGAUGCAGCCUCAAGAAAAUUUUGAUGUAUAUCUAUUGAAGAUCAAAUGUAUGAAGUGUUGGAGUGAGUUUCCAAAAAUGUAUGAUGUGGCUGUUACUGUUUGUUGACUGCCAGCUGGCUGCCUGCCAUUAGCUACCCACUUAAUGGCCAUGAUGGAAGCUUGGCUCUUUAAUGCAUCUGUAUAUACAUUGCAGGAAAGAGAAAUAGGAUGGUCAAACAUCAGAUCAGCAAUUGUUAAUUGUAGAAAAUACACUGUCAUCAUACUUUCACAUGAUGCAAGAAUCAACCAUCGGGAAAAUGUUCCAGGUCAAAAGAAUCUUCAGUGAAUUUCUAGCAAUGAGCUUUAUCUAUUGGUGCCUCCUGAAUUUGUGACUAUUAAUUCUGAAUUUCAUCAAGUAUUCGGUGAACAUGUGUGUUGGGAAUUAGUCUUUGGAACAGUUGAGUGAGGUAAGUUCUGUGCUCAUUUCACUUUUCAAGUUUUUUUCCUUGUUCUUUGAUAUAUUGAGUAUCAUUUAGCUUGUGCAAAAGUGCAAUAUCAUUUCUUUAAUCACAUCAGGGGCACUAUUGACCAAGUGGUUUGCUGUGGUAUUGAUAUACUGAUUCUGAUUGUAGAUGCCAUUGGUUUCUGUUCAAUCAAAAUUCAUCCUCAACUUGUUUUGUAGUCCAGCCAUUCAGUUUUUUCCUUUUCCUUUCUGUCAAUGUAUCUUUGGUUAGGUGUUUUGUGCAGGUUGGACUCUGCCUGGCAUUCUGAUAUUGAUAUGGAACUCAAGAGUAUUAUAUUGUAACUACGAAAAUUUCAAUUUAUGGAGAGCAAGUCUUAGUGCCACUGUAAGCUUUUCCUCUGCGACCUAACUGAUUUGUAUCAUGGAAAAUAUCUUCCGGCUUGUACGGGAGGAGGGCUAUGUAUUGAUGAUUUCGUGAUUC